GAUCCUGCCGGAGAUAACCGUUAUCAGGGUUCGAUUAAGCCAUGCGAGGCGUGAGCUAUAUGGGCUCGCCGCACUGCUGAGUAACACGUAGAUAACUUGCUCUACAGUGGGGGACAAUCUUGCGAAAGUGAGGCUAAUACCCCAUAGCUGCGAAAUGCUGGAAUGCGUUCGCAGUGAAAUCUACGGAGCUGUAGAAUAGGACUGCGGCGUAUCAGGUCGUUGUGAGUGUAAAGUACUCACAAGCCUAUAACGCGUAGGGGUUAUGAGAGUAAGAGCCUCCAGAUGCCUUCUGAGACAUGAAGGCAGGUCCUACGGGACGCAGCAGGCGCGAAAACUUUCCAAUUGCUUAGCAGCUGAGAAGGGAACCUUGAGUGGCUAUGCUUUGCAUAGCCUUUUGUUUAGUUUAAAAUGCUAGAAGAAUAAGGGGUGGGCAAGACAGGUGCCAGCCGCCGCGGUAAUACCUGCGCCCCAAAUGGUUAUCGCGAUUAUUGGGCCUAAAGCGUCCGUAGCCGGUUAAGCAAGUCUCUGGUGAAAUCUGGCAGCUAACUGUCAGGCGCGCUGGGGAUACUACUAGACUUGGGACCGGGAGAGGACUGAGGUAUUCCAUGUGUAGGGGUUAAAUCCUUUAAUCCAUGGAGGACUACCGGUGGCGAAGGCGUCAGUCUGGAACGGGUCCGACGGUGAGGGACGAAAGCGUGGGGAGCAAAUGGGAUUAGAUACAAACCUAAUCCUAAGACAAAAAGAUGAUUGGAUUUGCUAGAAACCCCAGUAGUCCACGCUGUAAACGAUGCCCGUUUGGUGCUACAAUGUCUAUGAGAUAUUGUAGUGCCGGAGCGUAGGUGUUAAACGGGCCACCUGGGGAGUACGGCCGCAAGGUUGAAACUUAAGGGAAUUGGCGGGGGAGCACACAAGGAGUGGAGGCUGCGGUUCAAUUGGAUUCAACGCCGGG
rnacentral:rRNA from 1 species